rnacentral:rRNA from 1 species
UACGUAGGGGGCGAGCGUUGUCCGGAGUUACUGGGCGUAAAGCGCUUGUAGGCGGUCCACCAAGUUUGGGGUGACAGUUGCCGACUUAAUCGGCAAAGUGCCUCAAAGACUGGCGGACUUGAGGGCCACAGAGGGACAUGGAACUCCAGGUGUAGUGGUGAAAUGCGUAGAUAUCUGGAAGAACACCAAAGGCGAAGGCAGUGUCCUGGUGGUCGCUGACGCUGAGAGGCGAAAGCCAGGGGAGCGAACGGG